GAUGAACGCUAGCGGCAGGCUUAAUACAUGCAAGUCGUGGGGCAGCAGGUUUGUAGCAAUACAGACGCUGGCGACCGGCAAACGGGUGCGGAACACGUACAGAACCUUCCUUUGAGCGGGGAAUAGCCCAGAGAAAUUUGGAUUAAUACCCCAUAGUAUAAUGAAGUGGCAUCACUUUAUUAUUAAAGAUUUAUCACUCGAAGAUGGCUGUGCGGCUGAUUAGGUAGUUGGCGGGGUAAAGGCCCACCAAGCCUGCGAUCAGUAACUGGUGUGAGAGCACGACCAGUCACACGGGCACUGAGACACGGGCCCGACUCCUACGGGAGGCAGCAGUAAGGAAUAUUGGUCAAUGGAGGCAACUCUGAACCAGCCAUGCCGCGUGGAGGAUGAAGGUCCUCUGGAUUGUAAACUUCUUUUAUAUGGGACGAAAAAGGCUUUUCUAAGUCGUCUGACGGUACCAUAUGAAUAAGCACCGGCUAACUCCGUGCCAGCA
rnacentral:rRNA from 1 species